CUUUUUUCUUUUCUUUCUAAUCAGAGAUAUUAAAAUGUUUACCAAAUCAGAAAACUGCUCAACUGGAGGGUUAUCAGGUUCAACUGCUCAGGCUGAACUGUUGUGCCUUCAUACUUAAUUUCCUGGUUCACAUGUAGAACUGCUUGGCUCUCGCCAACAGCAUGCACAGUAUCAAAUGCAUCUACAUUUCCACUAUUUCUUAUUAUAUCCCCAUAAAUAACCUUUUUUAAUUCUGGAUCUGUAAUUAAUAAUUCUGUACUCAUAAUAUAUUAAAACCUUUAGUUAAAAAGAAUUUAUACAAUGUACAUAUGUAUAUAAUAAAAUAAAACAAAAAUGCAUC
rnacentral:lncRNA from 1 species